UCAUCUUUUGUGUACGAUAAGAAAUGGUGAUGUAAAUGGUUAUGUACAAAUGAUGUAAAUUCAUAUGUGGAUUAUAUUUUUGGAUGAAGGAUAUGUAAUGUAUUUGAAAAAACAAUGUAAUAUGUAAAAAGCUUGUAUUUUGUUAAAGAAAAUCAAAUUACAUGUGUAGAUGUAUGGGUAGUAGUCCUUUCACUUGCUUGUGGUUGCUUGCCCUUGCGCAAGCCAUGUAUAUCCGAAUUCUCCUUGUAUGAUUUGCUAUACAUGUUGAUGUUGUGUGGAGCCUUGGGCGGACAAGGGAGGUUCUGUCCGUUCGGCGAUUGUGGACGUAUCCAAACCGACCAAAUUGGCGGUCGCGGGGCGUGACAAA
rnacentral:lncRNA from 1 species